rnacentral:rRNA from 1 species
UAGUGAUUAACGCGAAGAACCUUACCUGGGCUAGACAACGGCGGACCGUCCUAGAAAUAGGAUUUUCCCUUCGGGGACCGCCGGUUCAGGUGCUGCAUGGCUGUCGUCAGCUCGUGCCGUGAGGUGUUGGGUUAAGUCCCGCAACGAGCACAACCCUCGUCCUUAGUUGCCACCAUUCAGUUGGGCACUCUAGGGGGACUGCCGGCGUUAAGCCGGAGGAAGGUGGGGACGACGUCAAGUCAUCAUGGCCCUUAUGUCCAGGGCCACACACGUGCUACAAUGGGCGGUACAAAGGGUCGCAAACCCGCGAGGGGGAGCCAAUCCCAAAAAGCCGCUCUCAGUUCGGAUUGGAGUCUGCAACUCGACUCCAUGAAGUUGGAAUCGCUAGUAAUCGCGGAUCAGCACGCCGCGGUGAAUACGUUCCCGGGCCUUGUCACACCGAAUCGAA